rnacentral:misc_RNA from 1 species
GAUGAAGAACGCAGCGAAAUGCGAUAAGUAAUGUGAAUUGCAGAAUUCAGUGAAUCAUCGAAUCUUUGAACGCACCUUGCGCUCCUUGGUAUUCCGAGGAGCAUGCCUGUUUGAGUGUCAUUAAAUUCUCAACCUCACCAGUUUUCUGAACUGUUCUCCGAGGCUUGGAUGUGGGGGUUUGUGCAGGCUGCCUCAGCGCGGUCUGCUCCCCUGAAAUGCAUUAGCGAGUUCGAUACUGAGCUCCGUCUAUUGGUGUGAUAAUUAUCUACGCCGUGGAUCGGGGCUUAGACUCGCUUCUAACCGUCCGCAAGGACAAUACCUUGACAAUAUGACCUCAAAUCAGGUAGGACUACCCGCUGAACUUAAGCAUAUCAAUAAGCGGAGGA